rnacentral:rRNA from 1 species
GAAUAUUGCACAAUGGGGGCAACCCUGAUCCAGCCAUGCCGCGUGAGUGAAGAAGGCCUUCGGGUUGUAAAGCUCUUUCGGCCGGAACGAAAUCGCGUGGGCAAAUAGCCUGCGUGGAUGACGGUACUGGCAGAAGAAGCCCCGGCUAACUACGUGCCCGCAGCCGCGGUAAUACGUAGGGUGCGAGCGUUAAUCGGAAUUACUGGGCGUAAAGCGUGCGCAGGCGGUUUGCUAAGCCAGAUGUGAAAGCCCCGGGCUCAACCUGGGAACUGCGUUUGGGACUGGCAGGCUGGAGUGCGGCAGAGGGGGGUGGAAUUCCACGUGUAGCAGUGAAAUGCGUAGAGAUGUGGAGGAACACCGAUGGCGAAGGCAGCCCCCUGGGUCGACACUGACGCUCAGGCACGAAAGCGUGGGGAGCAAACAGG